GCUUGAACCCAGGCGGUUGAGGCUGCAGUAAGCUAUGAUUGUGCCACUGCACUUCAGCCUGGGUGACAGAG
rnacentral:miRNA from 1 species